CGUGGCGGUUGACGGCAACGU
rnacentral:snRNA from 1 species